UACGUAGGGUGCGAGCGUUAAUCGGAAUUACUGGGCGUAAAGUGUGCGCAGGCGGCAGAGCAAGUCGAGUGUGAAAGCCCCGGGCUUAACUUGGGAAUUGCGCUCGAAACUACUUUGCUGGAGUGUGGCAGAGGAAGGUGGAAUUCCACGUGUAGCGGUGAAAUGCGUAGAUAUGCGGAGGAGCACCGAUGGCGAAGGCAAUCCCCUGGGCCUGCACUGACGCUCAUGCACGAAAUCGUGGGGAGCAAACAGG
rnacentral:rRNA from 1 species